rnacentral:rRNA from 1 species
CAGCCGCCGCGGUAAUACAGAGGGUGCGAGCGUUAAUCGGAAUUACUGGGCGUAAAGCGCGCGUAGACGGUUUUGUAAGUCAGAUGUGAAAUCCCUGGGCUCAACCUGGGAACUGCAUUUGAUACUGCAUGGCUAGAGUAUCGAAGAGGGAAGUGGAAUUUCCGGUGUAGCGGUGAAAUGCGUAGAUAUCGGAAGGAACACCAGUGGCGAAAGCGACUUCCUGGUCGAGUACUGACGUUCAUGUGCGAAAGCGUUGGGAGCAAACAGGAUUAGAUACCCCUGUAGUCCCUGUCUCUUAUAC